rnacentral:lncRNA from 1 species
CUGUAAAUUCAUAACAAUUUUCACACAUCAAAAAAUGGGAGAACUAAAAUUGCUGUUGUCUGCAUUGUCAACUUGUAAAAUGAUGUCAGAACCACUGAAGUCAAGCAACUGAAGAGUUAAGAGUUCAAACAUAGAUGACAAGAAAGUCAGCCUUAUUGACAUGGAAUCAAUUGUCAAUUCUAAACAGAAUAAUCCACCAUAAAAGAUUUGACAGAAACCUGAAAAUGUUAGAAAAUCGAUAUUACCUGUCUUGAUUAAACUUGCAACUGAAAAUAGGCUGCUUAAAUGUACCCUGAAGCUGAACUAUCUGGGGACUUGAUCUGGUCUCAUCUUCAAACUGAAACAUAUAUCUUGGAUCAGGAUCUAGCUUCACUCUUAAAUGAAGCUCUGCUCCAGGUUUUGCACUACCCUGCUUGCUCUUGCCAAUACCUAUCCACCCAUUGAAAAGUAUAAUCGGUUUUCCUUCUCCCCAUUCAGGACCAACUUCCAACUUAAAAGUUCCAAUCUGUUGCCUUUUAAUACCAACACCACAAUGUGUACCUUUGCGCCCUCUAAAAACUACUAUUUCCAGACAUGCAUGAGAUGCGUAGAAACAGCCUGGGGCCAGCAAUGCUUUGAGAUCAGAUUCUUCUAGGUAAAAGCUGGAGGCAACACUCUGAGCAUCUGGGGUAACUUCAGGAGAGGAUAGAAAGGGAAUAGAGGAGGUCUGCACAGGAAAACCACGUAAGCGAAUCUCACACACACAUGGAGAAGAGAUAGCAUUAAUUCCAGACUUAGAAGAAUUCAGUUCUGUCCCAGGAAGUCGCAAACCCAGUGAACCUAUUGACAACCUUAUGAAAGCUUGAGGAUCCAUUUUUGUCACAAGUCCUUCUCCAUUGGACAAUUCUGUAGCACUGUAGCAGAAAAAAACCUGUUAUGACAAGAAGUAUCAGCUAAUGAUAAGUAGAUUGAAGGGCAUAAAGUAGCUAAAUCAACAUAGAUUACUAUGUAUUUCGCUUCUUUGCAAUAAACCUCAUGUUUUAGAGUAUUAGUUGUGAACGCUAUAAUGCUCUUGCGCACCAUGAGCGGAAAGGAUCUGCUGCAGUUUGUGCCAAUUAUAAAUUGAAUUCCAGAUUAAAUUCCAAAAAUUAAUAAGUAACUGGAUCAAAGAGGAAUUCUGCCAUAGAAUGAGAAGAUGCAAGCUUCACAUAUGAUGGGAAAUUAUAAAUUAAAUGUUAUUUUUUUCAGUAGGUCUAAUAUAGACCUAGACACCAUAUUAACAUAUAGUAAAUAAUAGACAUGAAUGAACACGUAUCCUAAACUGUGAAGGAUUUUGUGUGUGCAUGGAUUCACAGUAUGUCAAAAAUACUUUUGGUACUUUUGAGUACUAACCACAAGGCACAUGGUUAGACAAAGGACUUACCGCACAUUUAUGAUACAUUAAGCAAAGUAAUCAGCUAACAAGAAAAAAAGAAUGAGUAGACUAGAGAAAGACCAAUUCAGUAAUCCUCAUUUUGUUUGAAACAAGGAACAAUGAUAUGAUUUAGAGAUAGAGAGAGAAAGGGGGGAAAGUAAAGUAAUCGCUAAUACUUAGUGUCAGUAGAGGCCUCAAACCAAACUGUAUUUAUUUUGUAUAGGAUAUGCCUUUAUUCCAUUAAGUAACAUAGAUCAACGGUCUACUGAAUUCCAAUUUCAUACCCUUCUCAAUUGAGUAUGACCAUGUCUCCCAACCAUAACCAACUUAACAAUGUGAAAUUAAGGGACAGAAAAUAAAUUGUGGUAUCUCAACAUUGAUCAAGGACUAUUAACAAUAUCAAUGGCCACUGUAGCUGAGGCUUUUGGGUUGCCUGACAUAAAGGAAAAUAAGGUUCUAAUAUUUGCAGCUUCUGUCUGAUCAUGAGCAUAGCAAAUAAUGACCAAAAAUCCAGAUCAACAGAAACAUCAUCAGGAGCAAAAAGCAGAGUUAACCAGCUUUUCAAAACUUAGAACUUUCCAGCACCCGAUCUACUGUAAAAGAAUGGAAAAAUCCUUUCCCGUGAAGAAAUUCUCUCCCAUCUCACGAAACUAUUUCAUUCUACUGGAAGAAUAAGGAAAAUUUACUCUAAGCAAGAUAUAUGGUAUCUUAAACUCAAUCAUGAUCUUGGAUAUAAGCACUCAAUACUAAAUCAAACAAAAAGGGAUGAAGGUUAAACCCAAAAAAUGCUGAUUUUCAGCUCAAAAUUAGUAGCCUAGAAAGUCAAGCAGUAGCCUAAAUUUCUUCACCAUUAAAUUGCCAGAUAUAGGAUUUGUUCAUAAAGUAUACAUCAGGUGAAAAAUUGGUCAGAAUUCUGAUCCAGUCAAUAGAAGAACUCCUGAAAAUUCCUCAACUAAAGCGAUUCCUAUCAGAUUGAUAUCACCUUUAUUUCCCGUUUGUGUGACUUUGUUCACAAUUAAUUAAUCCCAGAACUGCCUAAUUACUUAAUUUCCCUUUAUCUCUUUCACAUUCCAAAUAAAUGAACUUAAGAAGUGCAUAGCCUUUAGCUUUAAUUUACCUAAAAAUCAGAAACCCAUACAAAUGUACCAACUGACAACAUCAGUUGUCAACAAUGAACUUAAGCCAUUAAUCAACCAUACUAGUCAAUACACAAAAUCAUCCAUAAAAGACAAGUCAAAGCCACUUAAAAAUGCAAAAUUUGAGGAAAGAACAAAAGAAAUAUGAAACGAACCUUUGCUAUGAUGCUUUAUCUAUCUCCAAAGCAAAACCAAAGCCACUUUUGAAGCUAAGUCCACUGAAAAUAGCCCAGAAAGCUGAGAAAAUCCUCAUAACUUUGUCAUUCAAUUUUCCAAGAAAAUAACCAAAAAGAUUGAAACUUUGACACUUAUAUCACCAAAACGGACUGUAUAUCCAAAAGGGUCGCUCUCAAGAUCCAAUUACAAUAUGAAUAAAUGAUCAAAAGGGUCCUUUAAUAGCAAUAGCUGCCACCAAAAACUACAGCCUCCUCCAAGCAUAUCACGUAGACAAUGCACAGAUCACGAGGAAAGAUAUACUUAUAUAAACUACGUACGUAUAUAUACUGUGGAGAUUAGCUGUAGCUCUUGACAAAUGUUGCUUUCUUUUUCACUGUUCUCCUGCACAUAUACACACAGUGACGUACACUGUAAAUGUGUGUAUUUUAAGUGUUUCCUAACAAAGGUUUUGGAGAGAAAAUGGAGAGCCAUUGUUUAAAACGCCACAGGCGGAGAAAGUAAAGGAGUAUUAUUGAUUUUUUAAUAAUCGGAAUAUGAAAAUGCUAUUUUCAUAUAUUUUUAAAUCUAUAAAGCUCCCAAGAAUACUAGUAGGUGCUUUUUAAAAUUAUUUUAUUUCUAUAAUGGCCAAGUAAUGUUUUUGGACUAAUUUACUUUUACCUCACAAUAAUCCACUUUCUCCAACUGAUAGGAAAGAAUAUCAAUCAUGAACCAAUCAAAAGAAUGCAAUUCCCCCCCCCCCCCACUUAAAAGGGUACCACAAAAUUAGAGGUAAAGGUAUAGUAUAUUCUUGGGUGUUCUUAUUACUAUUUUUUUCCACGUUAAUCAAUAAGGGGUCUAAAUAUUGUGGAGUUGUGAAUAAUAUCACAGUUGAAGAAAUUAGAAUAUUGCGAACUUGUAAAUAAUGUGUUAGGACUAUGCAAAUAACUAAAAAUUUGCAUGAUUUGUGUUUUUUUUUUCAAUUAAUUCGGACUAUACUACUUUAUUAGUAGAGUACAAAAGGAAGUAACAAAAAAAAAGUAACUUAACUUGGAUUGUAGACUUUAUAUACUCCAUACAUUGUGAUGCUAGGCACACUUAGGAUUUGUCAAAUGGUUAUGUGUACCAAAUAGUAAUAUUGUCCAUCUUAGGAUGAUAACAAGCAAGAAUCUCCUUUAAAAAAAAAAAAGAAAAAAAAAUUGGAAGAGGAAUAUGAGAAUAAGUGAAUUAGUUGUUAAUUACAAACAUUCUUUUUAAUUAUGAUAUGAUAUGAUGGGAUAAUAAAUUGAUGUGUGUGGAGAAAAGUAAUAGGGGAUAAUAUAUAUAAAUGAGUUAAUGUGGGACAGCGAUGGGGAAAAUUGGAUACAGCUGUAACCAACGCUUUGCUCGCAAUGACUCAAUGGGAGAAAUGAGAAUCGUUUUGUAGACCCGCUUAUUGGGGUUGGAAGGAUGAGGCUGACUUCAUCAACUGAUCAACGUAACUGCAUUAUUUAUUUUAUUACAAUUUACAAAUAAAAUUUGGAUAAAUUACAUAUAACCAUCUUGUAAUUUCAUUUAUUAUCAAAGGACCCUCUUAAUGUUUUAAAACAUUCACUUCACCGUGCUAUGAUUUUAUGUAAAAUGAAAAUCUGGCGAAAAAUAGCUUAUGUAUUGUCGUUAGUUGAAACACCAGUAGCGUCCUUACUUAAAUACUAAAUCGAACAACGAGUUAAUCACUUUAUAUAAAAUCACAAGGGGAUUACGUGGAUAAAUAUAAAAAUUAGAAGGAUAUAGUGGAUAUUUAUAUAAAAUUAUAAGGGGAUUAAGUAGAUAUUAUAAUUUCAUCACGCGCAAAACAGAGAAAGGUCAUAUGGCAAGAGUUAUCUAGCAUUAUGCAAAAUCAAAGGGGAUUACAUAUAAUUUAUCCAUAAAAUUAUAUUAAUAAAUGGGAAAAAUAAUUCGAACAAUUUUUAGUAAUAUAUAGCUAUUUAUUUUUUUUUGUAAUGCUAUUUAUUGCAAUGUCAACGCCUCAAUCUGUGGGGAUGGCUACAAGUCCAGCAUUCUUCCAAAUUUUGUCUGUGCCAAAUUCCUUAUUUACCUAACUUUUAGAGUGUAUUUACCAAACCUGUGAUCCAUUUUUCCCCCUAAACUCUACUCAGAUUUUGAAACGAUAACUUUUAACCAAAAAAAGUUCCCUCGUUUUGAUCCACAAAAUUCUUCCACAUAUGAGUCUGUUUCUUGUCAUUCAAGAACAUGUGACCAAUUUUCAAGUUCCAUGUGCACGCAGGACAGUUCAGCUUGUGCUUUCUUUGUACUUUAUGGAGAUGAUUCUAACGUUUAUGGCGAACUUGCAAGAGAAACUAUAACUUUGGAAGGAUCUGCUGGGGAUAGGGUGUCUUUCCCUGACUUUAUUUUCGGAUGUGGACAAGGUGGUGACUUUCCUAAGGAGGGAUCUGGCAUUGUUGGCCUAGGAUUCCAGCACCAAUCACUGAUCUCACAAUUAAAUUCCUCACUAAAUGGGAAAUUUUCCUAUUGUUUUGGUCCAUCCAAUGAUGUCUCCAAGCCUGGAAAAAUCGGAUUCGGUAACAAUCCUGAACUCUUGGGAAGAGAAGGGGUGGUCUCAACGCCGCUACAUUUUGAUUUCACAUACAGCCUGAGACUAGAAGCCAUUAGUGUUGCAGAUACAAGAUUGGAGUAUCAUUAUGAUACACCCUCUUCAACAUCAGGCAACAUUUUCAUAGACUCUGGGACACCUUAUACUUUUCUUCCACAAGAACUCUACAGUGAUUUUAAAGCUGCCAUACAACGUGAAAUUGGGUCACAGAAUAUAGUGGUCGACCAAGAACAUGACUUUACAUUGUGUUACUCAUCUCUGCUUGACAGUAAUAUUCCCAAUGUCACGUUACAUUUUACAGGUGCAGAUUUGAAGUUGAACCCAGAAAACAUCUUUGAUAGGGCCUCAUCUUCUCCAGUGUGCCUAGGAUUUGCCCCAAAUGACAUUGGCAUACUUGGAAAUAUAGCACAGGCUAACUCUUGGGUACAAUAUGACUUGGGAAACAAAAUUAUCUCCUUUAAGCCAGCUGAUUGCACCAAAUGAGUCGCAAUAUACAGAAAUUUAGGUACAAUAUGCUUGGGUUUGAUCUGAAGGAAAGUAUGAAUAAGCACCAGUCACGGGUCAUGUCCUAAAACAUUAGAGGAAUCUCGAAAUCUGUUUCACUUGUCCAAUUUUUCAACGACAAUCAAACCCUUUUGAAUUAAAUGUUCUAUGUUAGCAUGAGAGGACGAUUUUCCUUCUACUUUUCUUCUCUCUCAUACUCUAGUACAAGUUCCUUCCUGAACUAGUUCAGAUUGUUCUCCAAGGACAGACUUGGUAUGAAUUGAAAACGUAUAAUCUAAAUUAACAAGAAACCGAGUACACUAAAAUAUAAACCGCACAAAAGCGGAGACAGGUAGAACCUUUUGAAGCAAAUAGAACAUCAAACCUGGUGUGGUGUCAUAUCUUUGCCUUGACUGAUGCAAAUAUCAAAUUCUACAAUAUAAUCAAAUUGGAAUUGUUCUUAUGCUUUUGUUAAUUAAUCAUGACACAAGAGUUGAUGAAAUCAUAUAGCAGCUGAAUUUCACAAACAGGAGGGUCAUGCACUUUACUAUGGUUAAAACGAUGCAUUUUCGACUAAGAUUUGAACAACUGCUAUCCAACCAUAUUCUUUUGUAGCAUUCUCUUUUUAAUACUCUGCUCCACAUGAUAUUUUAGUUUCUUCUUCCUCUUAAUGGAAUUUAAUUUUGUUGAAACAAUUUCCCCACAAUGGAGUAAGUAAAUAUUCAUUGAGUAAAAGACAAAAUUAUGAGUUUUAUACUACUAGCAAUUAGUGUUCAAGUACCUUCGCUGACAACUAUAGACUUCAACAAGAUAAUGGACUACUAGACACUAUGAAUUUGGUAAGGAAAAUAUGCUAGCAAUUAAGAUUGUGAGUUGUCCAUUACAAUCUUGAUUACAAUUUAGAUGAUGGCACAAAACUUCGGCAUGCCCAGGACAGCUUUCUAGUUCAGCUUGAGAUUGGAUUUAGCCAAACCUAUCCACGCUGGAUUGCAAGUACUUGAAAAUGUAAAUGAAACUAGAUUGAUUAUGUACACCAUGUCAAAUUGUUACAUAAUUCAGAAGUAAUACAAGGAUGAUCCAUUAGUUCAUGAAACGUAAAUGAGCAUCAAAAACACAUAUCACCAAGAAUGGCGAUUACCUCUUCUUACCUUUCUUCGGAAAGGCCUGCAAGCCUCAAUGCUGAGAUCAACAGCAGCGGCAAGAGCCAUAAAAAUGGCUGCAUCCUCCACACAAGUCACAUAUCGCAUGGCUAGUUGCACCAGGGGCUUGCAACGUUUCCCUUCUCCUUGUACCCUAGAGCUCAUAACAAACCCACCAUGGACAGGACUUAGUGCAGCAAAAUCACCACUGCUUUGUGGACUUGGAACUGGAGUUGCUGCAGCUUUCACCUGUCUAUCUGUAUCUAUGAAGAACUCGCCACCCUUUUCAGCAUUAAUCAAUAUCUCUGACAUGAGGAUCUCCCCACCCUCCUGUCCUUCAGAUAAAAGGUGGAAGCGACAGCAGAUGGAGUCUCUGAUGCCACGUUCACGCCAUGCUUCAAGCUUUCCCCAUGGCUGCCAGCUCUCAGGCCUGCAAGCAUCAGGCCGAACAAUCAACCAAGCUCCUGGGUUGGAUUUUGCUACCCAGUCACAGCCUGAUGAAGGCACAAAUGGAGUAGUUAUGAAGGCUGCUGCAACAACUGAGCCAGAGAGAUCGUGAAUUUUCACCUUCCAUCCCUUCCUCUCUCUUCUUUCUACAUCCUGAUCAGAACUGUCAACUGAAUGUGACCAGAAGUUGCUCAGCGGAUCUAACUGGGUUACCCUGUAAAUUCAUAACAAUUUUCACACAUCAAAAAAUGGGAGAACUAAAAUUGCUGUUGUCUGCAUUGUCAACUUGUAAAAUGAUGUCAGAACCACUGAAGUCAAGCAACUGAAGAGUUAAGAGUUCAAACAUAGAUGACAAGAAAGUCAGCCUUAUUGACAUGGAAUCAAUUGUCAAUUCUAAACAGAAUAAUCCACCAUAAAAGAUUUGACAGAAACCUGAAAAUGUUAGAAAAUCGAUAUUACCUGUCUUGAUUAAACUUGCAACUGAAAAUAGGCUGCUUAAAUGUACCCUGAAGCUGAACUAUCUGGGGACUUGAUCUGGUCUCAUCUUCAAACUGAAACAUAUAUCUUGGAUCAGGAUCUAGCUUCACUCUUAAAUGAAGCUCUGCUCCAGGUUUUGCACUACCCUGCUUGCUCUUGCCAAUACCUAUCCACCCAUUGAAAAGUAUAAUCGGUUUUCCUUCUCCCCAUUCAGGACCAACUUCCAACUUAAAAGUUCCAAUCUGUUGCCUUUUAAUACCAACACCACAAUGUGUACCUUUGCGCCCUCUAAAAACUACUAUUUCCAGACAUGCAUGAGAUGCGUAGAAACAGCCUGGGGCCAGCAAUGCUUUGAGAUCAGAUUCUUCUAGGUAAAAGCUGGAGGCAACACUCUGAGCAUCUGGGGUAACUUCAGGAGAGGAUAGAAAGGGAAUAGAGGAGGUCUGCACAGGAAAACCACGUAAGCGAAUCUCACACACACAUGGAGAAGAGAUAGCAUUAAUUCCAGACUUAGAAGAAUUCAGUUCUGUCCCAGGAAGUCGCAAACCCAGUGAACCUAUUGACAACCUUAUGAAAGCUUGAGGAUCCAUUUUUGUCACAAGUCCUUCUCCAU